rnacentral:lncRNA from 1 species
AGCCCACACGAAUGAAUAAAAAGUAAAUAAACAAAUGAAGGACGACAAUGAAGCUGUAAAUAAAUAAAGAGGUAAAAAGAAACUUUCUAGUCUUUUUGCUGCUUCAAAGAUGGGGUUUUAACCCGUUCUUCUUUUCGACUCUUUAUACUUGUACUACUUCCGCGACAUUCAACAUCUUCUAAAAGGGCGGCCUCAAUGGCCCAUUGCAUAAUGCAAGAGAAAAGAGCCCAAUUGGACUCCCAUGCGGAUUCAUGCAAAGAAAGAAAGAAAAAUAGAUAAAUAAAUAAAGGAAUUAAUAUAUAUUCUGAAUUGGAGAUUAUCAUGCUACAGAAAUUCAUGAGGCAUUAAAAGACUCAGGAAUACAUAUGAAAAGAUAUACAACAACAAGUGACAUAUCCAAUACUUCCAUAGACAAAAUACUUCAAUGUAACAUACACAUAACCUUCCCAGGCCCAGCAUAAUUGUAACAAAUUCCCCUAGAAAUUAUCCCCAGAAUACAAAUUCAAAUAAUGCUGUGAAAACCAACUUGCAAGGGCGAUUUUUCUUACAGGAACAGUAAGGGAAAAAGAAAAUUAUUCAGGCAAAGACAUGUUUUGACUUGCAAAUCUAAAAGAAAAAGAAUAUUUAAAUGGCAUAUCUUGCAUAAUGAUGAACUACACAUUGUAAAAGCAGACUUCUGGUAAGAGGAGUUAAACCAUUACAUUUUAAGGCUAUGGAAAUUAUUUUACUUAAACGAGGAUUUUGACCUGGCAACCUAAAGAUUUAGCUAGGGAGAUAGACAGUUAAUUAGAUAAGAACCCAAAGAAAAAAAAGUAGUUUAUAAGUUAGUGAAGUCCGAUGUUAUGGGAAGGACAUGAAAAACCACGUUCUCAUGCAUAAAGAAAACAUAAAUCUAUGAAUAAAGAAAGUAAAGAGAGAAAAGUAUUACUGAAGCUUUUUCUCAGCCAAAAUACAUGACUAGAAAACUACAGUGAGGCUAUUCCGAUUUCAUUAUCGUUAUUACCAAAUGCUGAUGGGUUGCUUAUUUUAAUUUUCAUGUUAUAGGGUAAAUAAAUCGAACAAAUUCAAGAAAAGAAAAGAAAUUCACACUCAAUCCCAGAAAUAACAAAAUGCUAAACUUUUUUAAUAGUAAAGUUAACAAAGCGAACAUAUACUUUGAUAACCCAGGUAACACCAAAACUAUUUAUGAGCUUCGCAUAUGGUACAUACAAAAAGGUGCAAGAUGCUAACGGAUCAAUUUAAUAUCCCAAAUGAAGACAGAAAUCUAUACUAUACGAUUUUCACCUAACGAAUUACUAAUCAAGACCUGCAGGUCGAAAAUUAAUAUGACAAGACAAAGUAUCAUCAGAUCCAAAAGGCGUAUGUACUGAAAUCGCCAAGCGGGAAGACAAUUGCGGAAAAGAGAUAGUUUGACAUCUAACUAAUAACUUAAAGCCUCCCUAAAGAACGAUGAACAACAUUUCGAAAUAAAACAGCGAAGCAAUAUUCAAGCAUGUGAAUCAGAAAAACAGAUUAUAGGAUAAAAGCACAGCUUGACAAUGAAUUAAAGCCUUAAUCGAAUUACAACAAUCAACAUUUCGAGAAAAAACCUAGUUCAUGAGAUCAAAAUUCUGAAAUGGAGCCAAAAGUUUGAGUUUUACAACAAAACAAAACUGAGACCAAGAUAAAGGUAUGCACUUUAGGAUAGGAUCGAUACUUGGGCUAAAUGGGAAUGGACAACAUAAUAAAGUACUUGAUUAACGAAAAGGUAAUACUCUAACCAAGGCAAUAUUCAAGUACAGAGAUUAGUGACUAUAUAACGGUCUUGUGGCAACUCUUGUGAAAGAAAGAAAAAAAUAGGUCAUGAAAUGGAUACAAAAACAGACUUUCACAUGUACCACACAACCUAUGGCUUUCAAAGCCUCUAACCGCAAACAUCCCAACAUACAUGCUAUCUAAAACGCCACUAAAGAAUGACAAGAUGAAGCAGAAUGUGAAAUCGAAACCAACGAAAUGAGGUAUUACCUGUUUUGAGGCAGCAAAACAGUACUACGAGCUAACUUCGGACUUCCACCACCACCGGAAAGCUCAAUACCGUCGUGAACACUCGACUAGCUGACUGUUUCUCCAUGUUCUUUCUUGUUUUUUCCCUCUCAAAGAAAUGUUUUGCUGCCCUGAAAGAAAUUUUCUCCCUAGGCUUUUGAGUCUAGAAUUUCUAAUCCUUUUUGGACCCAAAAGUUUCCCCACCUAAGAGCCUUCAACCUCAAAAUUUUAAACCUUUUUAGAAUACCCCAGAAUCGAACCUAACCCCCCGAAAAGAAUAGGAAAAACCCCUUUCAAACCCAAAAUUCCCAACUUGGAAGAAAGAGAACCAUCCCGAUUUUUGGACCCCCCCAAAUCUCAAUCUCUGACCCAAAAGUCGAACUUAAUAGCCCAAAAGGGAGUGUCGCCUUCUUCUCGACUCCCGAAUUUCUAACCCCUUUGCAUUUAAGAUUUUGAACCCAGAAAGGAAAGAAGAGGCCUCUCUUUUCUCUCAGGAUUUUCUUAGAAAAAAUGUUCGACCCUUUUCAAUGGCUCUAUGCUGAGUUCUAUCUGGAAAGGCCUCUAGGGAUAAAUUAAGGAUUUCUAAAAAAUAGAGGAUUCCAAAUUCAAAAUUCGAAAAUUCCCCCUUUCCCUGGUUUUUCAACCUCAAAUCCCACCCAAUUCUUGAUUUCUUCAGAGAGAUUGCAACAGGUGGACCAAUCAAAUUUGGGCAAAAUGAAUUGUACCCCUCAACCAAUGGAAAUCCCCCAAAUAUACACGAAAUCACAUGAAUCAAUCCAAGAUUUUUGGGAAUGGGACAUUGGGGGAGCCAGCUCAUCCUUUUCUAGAAGCUUUGAGGUUUUGCUGAGAAACUGAGAGCGGGAAUAUGGAAAACACGUCAUUUCUGGUUGAGAAUGGGUUGAUUUUUGGUCGCUUAUGGGUUAGAGAUGGUUUUGUCGUUGAUUGUGAUUUGGUCGCUGAUGUUGUAUGUUGGAGAUUGUGUUGUCGUCGUUUGCUGUUGGACGAAAUUGGGUAAGAUUGAAAGAGGAGAUAAGGGUGGAUUGGAGGCUGGGCCGGGUCAGAUCUGUUGGGCCUAGUGGGUGCGAGUUUGGACCAUUGGGUUGUUGGAUUAAUUAAUGAAGGGAAUGGGCUGAUUUUGGUUUUGAUUAGGUUAUGUUGGGGUUAUUUAAUAACCCAAUUAAAUAUAAUUGGAUUAAAAUAAUCCUACUUAAGAAAAGGUAAUCGAGGAUUAAGAUUAUAAUUUAGGCAACUUAUUUAAACUCUACCAAAUUCAAUAUAUCAUCGGUCGAUUACAUCACAAUUAGGGCUCAUUUAAUUUCAAUUAGAGUCAAAUUUAGUAAAUUGACUAAAUCAAAUUGAAAUUCGAUACGAAUUAACACCUUGUUUAAUCCUGAGCUUCUUGAUUCGAUAAAGUUGAAUAAAUAUUUCCUCAAAUAGAUUAUUUUUCAGAAUAAAUCAUAUUUAAAUCAAGAUUUCAACCAUUUGAAUUUAUUUUCAAAAUAAUCCUUGAUUAAAAUCCGAUAUUCCGUAAAAUAGUUAUUUAAGUAACAAAAUUACAUAAUUUUGUAUAAUUGAACACAAUAAUGUAUAAUCAUCACUUAAAAUGAUAAACUUGCCCAGAUGAAUAUUUUUUUUUGAAAAGUUUCUAUUCUGUUUUGAUUUUAUUAAAAACCGAAGAAGCUCUAAAUUAAACUUAGCCGUGGAGGCAAAAAAUUAGGUGUCAACAAUUGCUCCCUCUCUUUGGGUAGGAUGGAUGCAAGUAAUCCUGGGAAAAAGGGAGGUUGACGUUCCUAAUUUUUGUUUGACCACAAAUUUGUAUCUAAAAGAGGUUGGUCUUUCGCACAAGUUUCAUGGAGUUACGACCAAACCUCGAUAUCAGGUUUUCCACAUAUCUCAAUUUACAUGAGAAUUCAGGCCACUUGUAGUUCAUAAAGCUUGAUUUUAAGCACGAUUUUCAAGAGAAUUCAUCAGCUAUCUCGGUUUUGGAGUUUUUGAUAAAACUGAGAAGUUGGGGAAUGAAGGGAUUUGGGGGGAGGUUGGAAUGCAUUUGAGUUUUCUACAUAGAGCCCAACCUACAUAUCCCCAAGAUUUCAGGAAAUCAGACUACUUGUAGUUCGACUCGAUCGGUAGAAAAGAUAGUCUUUUAUUUCAGACGAUCUUUGGCUCGGGACGAGUGACAAGUUAAUCGAGUUUUGGAAAAGAGACUUGUAACCUCUUAACCAUGAAUGUGGGAUACUUCACACCCAUAGACAAUAACUUACCUGGACAUAGUUUCCAAACUCUGAGUAUGUUGUCACCCGACUUUGAAAGAAAGAAAAAGUUACUCUCGGCAUGAGUUAAGAAAUAUCUCGGAGUUGAAACUGAGACUUAGAAUAUCCCAAAAUACCCACAUGCCUUCUAACAGGGGUGUGGAUGGAUGGUGGUGGCGAUCAUCCUUUAGCUCGCAUCCAAAGAGUUUGAUGUCCCUCUUUAGACUAUGUCCCGUUUUGCUGCUAAGAAAAAGUUCCACGUUGAGCUGCGUCCUUUUUGGAGUCGUCCGCACCUGUGGGUUUGAUUUGAGAUUUUCAUCCUCUCGGAUUCUCUGGGAAAUAUCUCAAACAAAAUUGUUAGUGCUAAACAUAAUUCACGAAAGAGGUAUAUAGCCUUUUACCAUAUCUCCACGUGAGUUGUGGCCUGAAAAGUGGAGUCAUCUCUUCAUGUACCUGUUUGGAAUGAAAUAACUGNNNNNNNNNNNNNNUGGCUGUGGUAUAAUGGCUCGUCCUCUUCAUCGAUGGGAUUCUCAGCAAGAUGAUCUGCCAAGGCUUGGGCUUUCUUGGCGGUUUGAGUCACAUAUACAAUGUCGAACUCGGUAAGAAAUAUUUGCCACUUUGCCAAUCGACCUAUCGGCAUAGGCUUCUGAAAUAUAUACUUCAAAGAAUCCAUAUAGGAGAUGAGAUAAGUAGUAUAGGAUGAGAGAUAAUGCUUUUACUUCUGUGCUACCCAAGUUAGGGCACAACAGGUCCUUUCAAGAAGAGUAUACCUGGCCUCAUAUGUGGUGAACUUCUUGCUAAGAUAAUAAAUAACCUGCUCCUUUUUGCCUAUGACAUCAUGUUGAGCCAGGACACAACCAAAAGAAUUGUCAAUGAAUUAUAAAUAUAAGAUCAAAGGCCUACCAAGCUCCAGUGGUACCAGCACAGGCAGAUUUGACAAAUAUCUUUUGAUUCUGUCGAACGCUUCCUGACAUUCUUUAGUCCAUUCUACCACAGCACUCUUUUUCAGCAACUUGAAUUAGGUUCACAAGUGGUUGUGAGUUGAGCAAUAAACCUGCUAAUGUAGUUCAGUCUACCAAGCAAACUCAUUACCUCCAUCCUAUUCUUGGGCGGGGGCAAAUCCUGAAUGGCUUUGAUUUUCGAGAGAUCCAAUUCAAUCCCUCGACGACUGACUACAAACCCUAAUAGCUUUCCAGAUGGAACUCCAAAUACACAUUUUGCCGGGUUAAGAUUGAGAUUAUACCUGCGAAGACUUUUAAAGAACUUUCUUAAAUCUUUAACAUGGCCGGCCCGACUUUUUGACUUAAUAAUCACAUCAUCCACGAAGACCUCAAUCUCCUUAUGCAUCACAUCAUGAAACAUAGUGGUCAUGGCUCUCAUGUAUGUUGCUCCAACAUUCUUCAAACUGAACGGCAUCACUUGAUAACAAUAGGUCCCCCAUGGUGUGAUAAAAGACGUCUUCUUCGCAUCUUCAUCAUCCAUAAUGAUCUGGUGAUAUCUGGCAUAGAAAUUCCAAAAGAGGCAACCUCGUGUUUAGCACAGUUGUCUAGCAAAAUAUGGAUGUUGGGCAGUGGAAAAUCAUCUUUUGGACUUGCUCUGUUCAAAUCACGAUAAUCAACACACACUCGAAUUUUGCCAUCUUUCUUUGGUAUGGGAACAACAUUGGAUAACCACAUGGGAUAAUGAGCCACUCGAAUUACUUUGGCUUCAAGUUGUUUCAUGAUUUUCUAUUUGAUUUUAAUACUUACAUCAGUUUUAAACUUCCUUAACUUUUGUUUGACAGAAGGGAAUGCGGGAUCAGUUGGCAAUUUGUGAGCCACUAAUUCAGAGCUUAUACUAGGCAUAUCAUCAUAAGACCAUGCAAAAACAUCCUUCUAAUCAAUUAAUGGUUGAAUCAUUCCAUCUUUUAGUUGUGGCAAAGCAUGUACACUGAUUUUAGUUUCCCUAACAUCUUCUUGAUUCCCUAGAUUUAUUAGCUCAGUCUCAUUCAAAUUAAGAUUCGGUUUGUCUUCAAACUGUUCCAACUCUUUGCUUAUUUCUUCUAGUGCUUCUUCUUCAUCAUAUUCCCCAUCCUGCUUCUUUACAUCUUGAUUAGUUUGAAUUUUAAGAUCAGGCUGAAAAUUCUGCAUGAAUGUCAUGUCAUUAGAAUCAGCACAAAAAGAACUGUAUAUAUAAAAAAAGAAAAACAAAAUAUAUUAGACAUGAAACAAAAGGGACAUUGCAUUUCAUUAAAUAAAAAGAUAGAAGAGUUUAAGCAUAGAUGCCAUCAUAACAUAAACAAACUAAAAUACGAAUUACAACCCUGAAAUAACUCGGAUAAACAGAAAGAAAAAUAAAAUAAAUUACCAAAACUCCCUCCCAACGGGGAGAGGAGUGACUUCCCAAUUAUUGAGUCGGAUGGCUGGACCUAUGAAUUGCACGUCUGCCAUACUGGUACCUUCUCCUGCUUUGACCAUAUCAACUUCAAUAAAAAGGUUCUGGCAGUUAUCAACCAAUUCAACUUUAAAUUCCACAUGCUUCAUGACAUCGCACUUAACAAGUGAUUCACUGAGUAGUCGCAUUGGGCGAGGGAGUGACCAUGUUUUCUUUUUCCUUCCCUUGACUUUCUUCAUAUCUUCAGCCGUAGGCUCAAAUCCCAGACCAAAUGUACCCACGUUCUCACUCAGACAUAUGGGAUGAACUAUACCGUGCAGAGACGCUCCCAAACCCUUUCCUGGCUCAAAUACGUAUUUCCAAAGUUCACUCACCAUCAUGAUAGAAGCGGAAGACAAUUGCGCUCUCGGUAUAACCUUCCAUUCAAGGAUACGAUUCACUGGCACUGCAUCAAAAAUUUGAUAGACGAAUGUCUCCUCUAUGUUAUUUGCUUCAAUAAGAGACAAGGGAGAAUCUUCGCAAGCGGACAAAUCUCCUUCACUGUGAAUAACCCCUUCUUGCCUGUCAUGCUCAAACUUAAUCAUUUGGUGCAGUGUAGAUGCAACCGCCUUAGCCUUUUGGAUCCACGACCUUCCCAACAAUAGAUUGUAAGAGGAAUCUAUAUUCAAUACUUGAAACUCUAUGGUGAACUCAAUAGGCCCUAUGAUCAACAUUAGUUCUAUUUCGCCAAUGGAUUUUGAUUUUGCACCAUCGAAAACCCUGACACAUACAUUGUUGGGCCUGAUCCUCUCAGCACCAAUAUUCAACUUUUGCAAAGUAGAAAUAGGGCAGAUAUUUGCACCUGAACCUCCAUCAAUCAUAACAUGAGUGAUGUAGAAAUCUUCGCACUUCACUAUAAUGUAAAGGCCCCUGUUAUGCCCUAUACCUUCAACAGGCAAUUCAUCGUCAGAAAAGCUGAUCCGAUUGACCUCAAAGAUUUUUCCAACCAUUUUCUCAAGCUGAUUUACUGUAAUCUCCCUAGGAACAUAUGCUUCAUUUAAUACCUUCAGUAAAAUAUCACGAUGCUCCUUGGAGUGCAACAACAAAGAUAAGAGGGAAAUUUGAUAAACCGGUCUAUUAUUGAAUACUCUGGCAAUUUCACCUUUUUCAAAAAUUAUUCGGCUUAUUAUUCGGUGAUCGACGUUUUGAUAGAUGACGGUCCACUCAUAAUUGUCUUAGACUUUCUUAAACUUUCAGGCAUGAAGCAUCUUCCUGAGCUAGUCAAACCCCCUACCUCAUCUACAUCUUCCACUACUUCUUUCCCGUAAUAGGUCAUCACAGUCCACCCAUAAUUCCAGGGAACCCUUUUCGUAUAAACUAUCGGAGGUUGGGUCACCGGUUUGAGNNNNNNNNNNNNNNNNNNNNNNNNNNNNNNNNNNNNNNNNNNNNNNNNNNNNNNNNNNNNNCUGUCAACUUAGGUUUAUCCUGACUUAAAUCAACAUACCUUCUGGCACCUUGCACCGUGAUCAGGGGUUUAUUUGUGCUUUCUUGGGCUUUAUCUUCUCUCAUUCCUUCCUAGUUCAAUGACAUUGCUUUCAAAGACUCUGCUACAUUCACUGAUUUUUCCUCAAUGGUCUGUAUCUUGACGAUAGGCUUAUAGUACCUUGACGACUCUUUCUCAUCAUAUAUCAAUUCUAACAUAUUGGUUUCAGCAUGGGUUGGCAGCAGAUUCUGGUUAAUGUUUGGACCCUCCGGGGCCUGGACUAGCAUCUGAUUUAUGUUAAUUAAAUCUUGGACAGCUCUCUUUAAAUGCUAGCAUUUCUCGAUAUCAUGGCCUGGUAUGUCAAAAUAGUACGCACACCUUAAAGAAUAAGGUGGGAUCCUUUAACCAUGAAUGUGGCUUGUAACCUCUUAACCAUGAAUGUGGGAUCCUUCACACCCAUAGACAAUAACUUACCUGGACAUAGUUUCCAAACUCUGAGUAUGUUGUCACCCGACUUUGAAAGAAAGAAAAAGUUACUCUCGGCAUGAGUUAAGAAAUAUCUCGAAGUUGAAACUGAGACUUAGAAUAUCCCAAAAUACCCACAUGCCUUCUAACAGGGGUGUGGAUGGAUGGUGGUGGCAAUCAUCCUUUAGCUCGCAUCCAAAGAGUUUGAUGUCCCUCUCUAGACUAUGUCCCAUUUUGCUGCUAAGAAAAAGUUCCACGUUGAGCUGCAUCCUUUUUGGAGUUGUCCGCACCUGUGGGUUUGAUUUGAGAUUUUCAUCCUCUCGGAUUCUCUGGGCAAUAUCUCAAACAAAAUUGUUAGUGCUAAACAUAAUUCACGAAAGAGGUAUAUAGCCUUUUACCAUAUCUCCACAUGAGUUGUGGCCUGAAAAGCGGAGUCAUCUCUUCAUGUACCUGUUUGGAAUGAAAUAACUGACAACAACAAACAUAACAACUCUCUUGGUUGUUGUAUAAUUAUGACAUUUGUAGGUUGAAUAUGUCUUCAAAGUGGGGUGACCCUUUUGGACACCGGCAAUACUUUAUACAGGACGAUUCCUACAACCAUGUAAUCUUGUUCUGGUGUGGCAACCUUUUUGGUUACCUAUAUCACUUGUUGUAUGUGGAAUGAUAACCUCUCCAGUUAUAGUAGAUGAUCAAUUUAUAAAUUUUCCUUAAAUUGUCAAUCUUUGGAUAUUCUUGCGUAUUAUUUGAUGUUGGAUACGAGGCAAAUUACAGAUAUCCUUUGAAUUUUUAGAUUUUAGGUAAUACUGCGUGUUAUCCGACUUUGGAUAAGAGAUGGCUUAUAGAUAUCCCUCCAAUCGCUAGCUUUCAGGUGUUCCUACACAUCAUCCGACCUUAGAUACAAUAUGACUUAUAGAUAAUCUUUCAAAUUGUUAGUCUUUGGGUAAUCCUGCACAUAAUCAAUCUCGGAUAUAACGUGGCUUAUACAGAACCCUUGGACGUAUCAAUUUGAUAAUCUUGCAUAUUCUCCCAUAAGGAUUUAGUUGCGACUUAUGGAUAACCUUUGAACUAUCGAUUUUUGGGCGAUCUUGCACACUAUCCAGUUAGGAUGCUGUUGUGACUUACGGAUGACCUACAGGCUAUCAACUCAUAGGUGAUCUUGCAAACUAUCCUAUUUCAAAUAAUAUGACUUAUAGAUGGCCCUCAAAUUGUCAAUUUCUAGGAAAUCUUAUAUAUCAUUCAUUCUUAGAUAGCGACUUAAAGGCAUCCCUUCAAAUCAUGUGCUCUCGAUGCAUUCAAAUGCUGAUUCAUAAAAUAAUGAGAUAUUCUUGACGCCAGUGUUUGUGUCUAGUAUGUCAAUAGAUAUUAAAUGAUGAUGAUAUCCUUGAUGCCAGCGUUUUUGUCUAGUGCGUCAACAAAUAUUGAAUGAUGAUGAUAUCCUUGAUGCCAGUAUUUUUGUCUAGCGCAUCAACAGAUAUUGAAUGAUAAUGAUAUCCUCGAUGCUAGUGUUUCUGUCUAGCACGUCAACAGAUAUUAAAUGCUGAUGAUAUCCUCGAUGUUAGUAUUUUUGUCUAACGCGUCAACAAAUAUUAAAUAGCCUUGUGGGCAAUGGUAUGAUCUGGCCCUCUUGGCAAUGAUAUGUAAUGAAUCUUUUGUCAAUGAUAUGAAAUAGCCCUCUUGGUAAUGAUAUGCAAUGGCCCUCUUGGUAAUGAUAUGCAAUGGCCCUCUUGGCAAUGACAUGCAAUGACCCUCUUGGUAAUGAUAUGAAAUGACCCUCUUGGCAAUUUAAAAAUAGUUUCACCUGAGUUUAUUUUUCAGCAUCUUUCUUUCUACAUGUACCGUUCUUAAUCAUUAUAUGCUCUGGCAUGGCUCCCGACUUGCUUGGGUAUUUUUUGAAAGAAACGCUCAUCUUUGUGUAUCGAUCCCUGCAUCCACAGAAAAAUAAUUAGAUUGAAUGAAACUACUCUGUGUUGACCUUCUUCGAUUCUCUGUUUACUCCACGCCAUCUUUUGGGUACUCUAUUGUGUUGGGACUUCCAUCCUUGAUUCCCCAUCCUAAUUGAUGUCUAGGCAAUCACUAAGUAAAAGAUUUAUAUAUAUUUUUAAAAGUAGUCUUAAUUUUUAGAAAAUAGUUUCAGAAACUUAUAUAAAACUUUUAGAAAAUCUCUUCCAGUCAUGUCAUGUAAUAGCUCAACGACCAACUUUCUCUUGACUCUGACAAUGACCGACGUUUGACGGAGGAUUUCUUAGGGAUUCGGUAUUGUCGAGGCCCUAUACCAGAAGUUUUAUCAAAGAUAGAGAUUCAAUCUUCCCAGACUUUAUCACAGGUGGUGAUUCUGAAAUCUCAACUUUGACCUCUAGUGAUGGGGAAUUUGAAAUAUAUUUCAAUAUUUGGUGGAAAUUUUGAGGCCUUCCUCAAAAUUUCUGCCCCAGUUUAAAGUAGCCUGAGAUGAUACAUCUCGAGUGGAUCUGAAGUCUUUGCUGAUCUUCAUUCUCUUUGUUGGGUAUUGAUCUUCUCUUUUGAAUUUUCAAGAUUCCUUCUCAAAAAUUCUUCCCUAGUUUCCAUUUCCUGGGUUAUAUGAAGGAGCCGUUGGGGCGCCUACGUAUCCCGUUGAAGCAGAAAUUAGGUCAAACAUAGUUCAAGACUACGCUAGGGAUAUAUAUAAAUUUUAGUGGGUUGAUCGAAGCCGACAUAGGCCUCCUACGUAUCCCUUUCUUGGGAAUUCAGGUCAUCAUGUAGUUCAUACAUAAAGGGAAAGGAUGAAUUUUCCUAAGGGGUUGACCGAAGCUGAUAUAGGCCACCUACGUAUCCCUCUUUGGAAAUUCAGGUCAAACGUAGUUCGUACACAAAGGGAAAGGAUAAAUUUUCCUACGGGGUUGACCGAAGUCGAUAUAGGCCGUCUAGGUAUCCCUCUUUGGUAAUUCAGGUCAAACGUAGUUCGUACAUAAAGGGAAAAGGGUUCAAUGUAAUUACGCAUUAUAAAAUAGCAUUACUACAAAGGCGAUUACGAGUAAACUAAGGAAUACAAAAAUUAGCACGUCUUUCAAACAUAAUAUCUUUUUACUGUAUCAGAAUUAAUUGGUUUGGUUCACUCUUGACCAUCCAUCUCAGAUAGUACCUUGCGAACUAUGUAUGGCCCUUGCCAAUUUGGAGCGAACUUUCCCUUGUACUCCUUUUAGUAAGGAAUUAUACGUUUGAGAACCAAUUUCCCAACUUUGAAUGUUCAAGUUCUUACUUUCUUGUUAAAGGCACGAACCAUCCUUUGCUGAUACAACUAACCAUGACAUACUACAACCAUUCUUUUUUCAUCAAUCAGCGUGAGUUGUUCAUAGCGAGCACGAACCCAUUCUUCGUUACUUAGUCCGGCUUUAUGAAUAAUCCUUAGGGAAGGUAUUUUAACCUCAGCAGGUAUCACAACUUCAUUCCCAUAAACUAAUAGAUAAGAAGUCGCCUCGGUGGAGGUUCAAAUUUUCAUGCGAUACCCAAACAAAGCUUAAGGCAACAUCUCAUGCCAUGAUCUAUCAUUUUCGAUCAUCUUUCUCAAGAUCUUCUUGAUGUUGUUAUUGGCAGGUUCCAUGGCUCCAUUCAUCUGUCGACGAUAUGCGGUCUAGUUGCAAUGCAUUAUUUUAAAUUGGUCACAAAUAUCAUUUAUCAAGUGACUGUUCAAGUUUGCCCCAUUAUUAGUGAUGAUCUAUUCUGGCACUCCAAAUUGGCAAAUCAAGCUAUUCCUAAUGAAAUCUGAAACUACUUUCUUGGUGACGGCUCUAUAUGAAGUAGCUUCGACCCACUUAGUAACAUAGUCAAUAGCAACCAAAAUAAAUCUAUGCCCAUUCGAUGCCGGUGGCUCUAUUGGUCCGAUAACAUCCAUGCCCCAAGCUACGAAAGGCCAAGGUGAAUUCAUCGCAUGAAGCUCAUGUGGAGGCAUUCGAAUCAAAUUUCCAUGUAUCUAACAUUUUGGGCACUUCUACACAUACUUGCUACAUUCAUUUUCCAUAGUCAUCCAGAAGUAACCGGUUCUCAGGAUCUUUCUAGCAAGGGGAAACCCGUUCAUAUGGGGCCUACAAGCUCCAGCGUGUACUUUUAUCAAUUUAUUGGCUUCGCAGCAUCGAUACAUCUUAAGAAUCCCAAAUUUGGAGUCCUCCUAAAAAAGAUUUCCCCACUUGGAAAAUAGUUCUUCGCCAAAUGCCGGAUUGUCUUCUUUUGGUUAUUACUGGCCUCUUCAGGAUAUAUUCCAGAUUCUAAAUACCUUUUAAUAUCAUAGUACCAUAGCUUUUUAUCAGGCUCCUCUUCAAUGUGUGCACAAUGCGCGGGUUGCUCCUUCAAGCUUAUCUCCAAAAGAUCAAUGUAAAAAUGAUCUGGAUGCUGAAUCAUGGAAGAUAUAGUAGCCAAAGUGUCAGCAAACUCAUUUUGUAUCCUUGGAAUAUAUCUAAAAUCUACUUCUUUGAAUUUUUCACAUAAUUCAUGCACCAGCUCCACAUAAGGAGUAAUUUUGGAAUUUUUUACCGCCCAUUCUCCUCGUAACUGGUGAAUCAGCAAAUCUAAAUCCCCUAUGACUAGAAAUUCACGAAAACCCAUAUUUAGUGCCAGUUUGAGACCUAGGAUGCAAGCCUCAUAUUCGGCCAUGUUAUUGGUGCACGAUAAAUGAAACUUAGCGGUUACCGGAUAGUGUUGGCCGAUUUCUGACACCAACAAUGCUCCGAUUCCUGAACCUUUAAAGUUGACUGCUCCAUCAAAGAAUAACCUCCAUCCAAGGUAAAUUUUUGUAAUGUCUUCUCCCAGGAAUAGAAUUUCCUCAUUUGGGAAGUAAGUUCAAAGUGGCUCAUAUUCAUCAUCAACUGGAUUCUCUAUCAAAUGAUCUACCAAAGGUUUCCCCUUGAUUACCUUUUAAGUUACAUACACGAUGUCAAACUCACUCAGCAACAUUUGCUACUUGGCUAGAUUUCCCGUAGGCAUGUCCUUUUGGAAUAUAUACUUCAAUGGACCCAUUCUCGAGGUGAGGUAUGUUGUGUACGACGAUAGAUAAUGCCUCAAAUUUUGUGCAGCCUAAGUCAAAGCGCAACAUAUCCUUUCUACAAAAGUGUAACGGGCUUCAUAUGGAGUAAAAUUUUUAGUCAAGUAGUAAAUGUCUUUCUCUUUCCUACCGGUCUAAUCAUGUUGCCUGAGGACACAUCCAAAAGCAUUUUCUAAGACUGACAGGUAAAGCAAUAAUUGCAUUCUUUCUCUUGGUGGAACCAAAAUCGACGGUGCAGAUAGAUAUUCCUUGAUAUGGUCAAAAUCUCUCUAACAUUCUUCUGUGUACUCAUUUAAUGCAUUUUCCUUCAACAUCUUGAGAAUUGGCUUUCAUAUGAUUGUCGACUGAGCGAUGAACUUGCUAAUGUAAUUCAAACGACCCAUGAAACUCAUAACUUUCUUUUUGGUCCUUGGUGGUGGCAAGUCCUGAAUUGUCUUGAUUUUGGAUGGGUCUACCUCAAUGCCUCUUCUGCUGACUAUGAACCCCAACAACUUCCCUGAUGGUACACCAAAAGCACACAUAGUAGAUUUAACUUCAAACUGAACUUUCUUAAUCUGUUGAAGAAUUUCUCCAGAUGGGUCAGAUGAUCCGAACUCUCGUAGGAUUUGAUAAUUAUAUCAUCCAUGUACACCUCAAUCUCUUUAUAGAUCAUAUGAUGGAAAAUCAUCGUCAUAGCCCUCAUAUAUGUUGCACCCGCAUUUUUGAUACCAAACGGCAUUACCCUUUCAUGAUAAACACUCCAGUGCGUAACAAAAUCCAUCUUUUUUGCAUCUUCCUCAUCCAUCAAUAUCUGAUGAUACCCAAUGAAACAAUCAAUGAAUGACUACAUUCCAUGCUUUGUAAAUUUAUCGAUGAGGAUGUGGAUGUUGGGUAAUGAAAAAUUAUCUUUAGGAAUGGCUCUAUUCAAGUCUCUAUAGUCAACACAAAUUCGAAUCUUGCCGUCUUUCUUUGGCACUGGGAUGAUGUUGGCUAGCCACGUCGGAUAUUUUGUGACCUCCACAACUUUAGACUGGAUUUAUUUUGUUACUUCUUCCUUGAUCUUUAGACUUAAAUCUGGCUUGAAUUUCCGCAUUUUUUGCUUGAAUGGAUCAAACUCUGGAUUUAUCAGCAACUUAUGCGACACAAUGCUGGUGCUCAAUCCCGGCAUAUCAUCAUAGGACCAAGCAAACACGUCAAUGUAUUCCCGCAACAGGUGAAUGAGCACUCUCUUUUGUGCUUUCGCCAGGUGGACACUGACAGUUGUUUCUUUGAUUUCAUUAUGAUCUCCGAGGUUGACUGUUUCAGUUUCCUCUAGGUUGGGAUUCUCCCGGUUCUCAAACUUUUCUACAUCUUAAACUAAUCGUUUCCCAUCACCUCCCUUCCAAUCCACACCAUUUCCCUUAUUUUGUUCGUCUAAGCUUUGACAUGACAUGACAUUGGCAAGUUUUGAGUUACUGUUACUAUAAUAAACAAACAAACCAAGUUAGAUAAUAACAAGAUAAUAAUAAAAUGUACGAAUAGUGAUGUUUCAAAAAAUAAUUUAUUUAUUUAUUUUUUUUCAAAAUAAGGAAAGACCUUUUCAUUAAAAUUUGAGAGAUAAUUACAAACUAUGGCUCAUGACUCGCGCAAACACAAUCCCAUGCCUUUUGAAAGCAGUAAAAUAUGAAAAGAAAAUUUGAGAUAUAAAGGGUGGAUCGCGGGGCCUCAUCCGAAUCAUCACCGAUUUUAAGAAACUAUUAGUAAUUGUCUUUUCAUCUACCAAGAUGAGUAACGGGUUAUGAAUGGAGUGGAGGUCCAGUUUUGCAAGGCCUCCCCUAGUGCAAUAUUCUUCACUCCAAUGGACUUUGGGAAAUCUUCUGGUUCAAUAGUGCAUCCCUUGAAUAGAUUUCCUAUCCCAUCCCCAAGACCAUCAUCAUUCGACAUCUCACGUAUAGGAAAUGAUUGGUAUAGGAGCGGUAAAGGCCUAAAAAGACUCGCCUCUGACUUAUUCUCAAUCUCAUCCUCGUUUGUAGGACGAUAUCCUAACCCAUACUUAGAGGCUUUCUCUGGGAUCAUGAUAGGCUCAAUAAUUCCUUGCAGACUCUUACCCAAACCCCAACCAGGCUCGAAUCCAUUUCUUAACAUCACCAUCAUAAUCAUUUUGUAGACAGAAGGCAUUGGCACUUUAUGCGUCAGAACCUUCUCCACAACAUUUACAAUUCCUACUGUAUAGAAACUACUACCUUUUGAAACAUCUUCAAUCACUGGCACAUAACCAUUGGGAUGAUCCACUCGGCUUCUUUUCCCUUAGAUGACUACUUCAUGAUCCUUCCAAAUAAACUUCAAUAAUUGAUGAAAGGGUGAUGAAACGGCCUUUGCACCAUGUAUCCAUGGUCUUCCCAAGAGAAGGUUGUAGCUAGGAUGAAUAUUCAUAACAUGAAAUUUAGUUUUGAACUCAGCAGGUCCCAUUUGGAUGUACAAAUCAAUUUCUCCUAUGGUGUCUCUCUGCCCUCCAUCAAAUGCUCUCACAUUUAUGUGGCUUUGACGAAUUUUUUCCAAAUUAUAUCCCAUUUGAAACAAUGUGGAGAGAGGACAAAUGUUCACACCAGAUCCAUCAUCUAUCAAUACCUGAUUAAUUGCAUAGUCUUGGAAAAUGACAAUGACGUGCAAGGGUUUGUUGUGCAUCGCUCCCUCAAAUGACAACUCUUCAUCACUGAAUGAUAUGAGAUGAUUCACCAUAAUAUUUCCUAUCAUCGCAGCCAGGUUCUCAGCACUCAUUCCUACAGGAACAUACGCUUCAUCCAAGACCUUUGAUAGAGCUUGUCGGUGGUAUCGCAAUCUUAUUAAUAAUGCCAAAAUAGAAAUUUGGGCUGGAGUCUUCUCUAAAUAUUUGACAAUUGAAUAGUCUUUUGGUUCCAAAAUUCCUCAGCCUCCCCUUCAGUGAUUGGCCUUUUCUAUGAAUCUUUUUUGUUGAUCAAUUCUUCAGGGAUGUAGCAGCGUCCCGAUCGCGUCAUCCCUUGGGCAGCAGCGGUCUGUACAAUAAAUUCCUUCUUUGGCAGGGGAGUGUACACUUGGAUGGGGGCUGUCAUCACUAUAAAUAGGGCUUUCUCAUUGACACUUAAGGCAGCCACAACUCUCUCUAUAUUUUCUACCUCUUUCGCCUUUUUUUACUUAUCUGAAUUCACCUUAGUAAUAGUCUUGCCAGAUGCCCAUUCUCCUUCUAUUUCAAUCAUGUUAACUGUAGGUCCCCCAUGAUUAAGCAAUGGGUUACUGUUGACAUUUGGCAUCGGUGACUGAAAUGUGAUGACCUUUUGAUCAAUUAGAUCUUGGAUCUUAUGUUUCAAGGUAACAUAGUCCUGGGUACUUUGCCCUGCUACUCCUGAAUGAUAGGCAUAAUUUUGAUCAGGAUGAUAAAAUUGGGAGUUGGGAUUGACAGGCUUUGACUGUAUCGGUUGCAAAUGACUGGCAUUCUUCAAUCUUUCGAACAAUUGAGUAUGGCUUUCAGCUAGUGGUGUAAAGUUUUGGGGGGUUUUCUUUUCGUAGUUUGGAGGUAGGGGGUUAUAAUGUCUUUGGUUUGCAGGAGGAGGUACUUGAUGAUAAUUUGGAGGUGCUUGGAUAUUUGUUUGGUUAUUUGGAAGAGUAGCUUGAACAUGAGAUUGAUAAUUUGGCUGCGAAAUUUGGCACUGGGGUAAAAUAUUUGAAAUUGGAGCUUGAUAUUAGGGAUGGGCGUAGAAUACAAGCUGAAAAUUUGGUGACGGUGGUGAGGAAAGAAUAUUCCUAGGCUUGAAUUUCCUCUUCAAUUUAUCAACAAAAUCAGUAGAGACCGCAGUCACAUCUUCUCUUUUCUUCUUUGAGAAUGUAGAAGAUUCAGAUGAUAUUGGGGUUUUCGCAAUUUUUCCUGUUCGGAUGCCUUCCUCUAACGAUUUCCCAAUCUUUACUAAAUUUGCGAAAGUUGCUCGGACUAUGGAUACCAACCUGGUAUAAUAUUCUCCCUCCUGAGUGUGAGAGAACACAAACACCAUUUCUUCCUCAGACAUGGGAGGUUGUACUUUGACAGCUUCUUUUCUCCAACGAAAGGCAUAGUCUCGAAAAUACUCAUCAUUCCUCUGGUUGAUCCGAUCUAGUGAAUAUCGUUCAGGGACUAUUUCAAUGUUGAAUGCAAGCCUAUUAAGGAAACUUUUGGCCAAUGCCCUCUAACUAGUCCAUUUUUUCAGUUCUUGAGACGUGAACCAAUCUAAGGCUUCACGACUCAAACUUCAACUGAAUAAGCACAUCAAUAAUGCCUUAUUUUUCCCUACUCCCACCAUUUGAUCACAAUACCUUCUCAUAUGGGCCAUUGGAUUUCCGGUGCCAUUAAACAGUUCAAAUUUAGGGACCUUAUACCCUUCUGGUAGAUCUACUCCAGGGUGAACACAUAAAUCAUUAUAACCUAACCCAUCGUUAUUCCCUGCUCCAUAAGAUUCCUUGAUCCUCAUGAUCUCCUCAUUCAUAGCUAGCAACUUUAUUUUAUGCUCGGUCCUCCACUCUUUCUCCUUCUCCUUGUAAUGGUCCACCUCAGGAUUAGGAAGGGAAUUAUAGAUGUCAGGGGAUAUGAUGAAAUGAGAAGAAUUUGGAAAGGCAGCUUGAUUUUGUGGAUGAAAGAAAGUUGGUUGGUGGGUGGGGAGAACAUUUCGGAAACUGGAUAAGUUUUAUGGAAUUUGAGAGUAGCUUGGUGGGAUCUGGAAGGGAUUCUGUGGAUUCAGAAAUGAAGUUUGUGGGUCUGGAGAUAGAUUCGGCAGAUUUGGUAGAUCUGGGGAUGGAUUUACCAAUGGAUUCUAGGGAUUUGGGAAUGAAUUUUGUAGAUUCGGAGAAGGAUUUUGUGGGGCGAGGGAUGGAUUUUGUGGAUGGUAAGCAUCUGGGCUAUUUUCACGAUUGGUAUUUUGGACAAGUGAAGGGGUAGAGACGGACAAUAUGUUAUUUGGUUGAUCCCCGAGAAUAGGCGUACUGAGGGAAGGUAUUUGGAGUGGAGUCCCGUGUCCUCCUGGAGCGGGAGCAUUGACAGUGAUGGCCAGUUUAGCUAAAUCUCGAGUACGAUUUAUUUCCUCCUGAAGCAUUUCUAGCUUUCUUGCAAGUUCCGCGAUCAUCUCACUCUGUUCCGCUAUUACAUUGUCCCUGAUGGUCAAUGUAUUUUAUUCGUCAUUUCCAGUCAUUAUUGAAUGAUGGUCAGAGGAUGAGAUUUUGUGCGCUUUUGACCGGGUGAAGUAGGGAUGUUCUGCCAGCUUAUUCCCACACGAAGUAGUUUUCUAUUAUUUGUAAAGUAAAUCAACUCAAAGGCAAAUGUGUUAGUUUCCACAUAUGAUAAGCAAUGCAAAAUACUUGACAAGAAAUAGCCACGUAAAGCUGUUUGUGUCAUAGCCAAAUCAAUCCAUAGGAACAUAGCGGAUAAAUUUGUCUUUGAUCCAAACAAAUGCACAUAAACACAUAAGACAAUUAUAUCACAUAAGAGCAUUAUACUAAUGCGUAUCCUUGACCCUUUUGAGCCAAGGGUUAGGGCCUAAUAAUUUUUGAAGAAAAAUAUAUGCUUGCUUAAGGUCAAUCCAUUAUCCCCCAACUUUUAUAGACACUAAAAGGGCAUAAAUGCCUACAAAAGAUAACAAAAGAGGAAUGCAAUCUUUAGGGAAAGGAAAAUAACAAGAAAGAAGACAUGUUCCCACAUAGGGGACAGAAAAUACUAAUUCCUGAGUGCUUUUUCUAUCAGCCUUCGCCUUGUUAGCUUCGUCCAUUUCUUAUAUUGGUAACAUCCGUUGACAUUCAAACUGUGCCUUAGAUUCAACCUCCCAAAUUGAUCAAUUUCUUGCUUAACUUGCUUUAAUUCUUCUUACGAAAGUAAGCAAAUCAAGCUUUUUCCCAACCGCCAAAGGAUAAUGGAUUGAAUUAGACAGGCAUAUAUUUUCUUCAACACAUAAAUAUGGUUCGUCUAUAAUUGACUCGAGGUCAAUAGACACAGGGUAGGUUUUCUAAUAGGCCCAAUACUCCGCUCAGGUAUUAGAUCGUCCUAGGAUCAUGCCUAAAAUAGGAUUUUGGUUUCGUUCUAUCCUAGGUGUCUAGAGUGGGUUUGAAUACUGGUUCUCAAGCGGACAACUUGAGUUUGAAAAUACGAACAGCCAUCAGAUGACUCACGUGCUAAUAAGCCGUUCAUAUUUCCAACACUUUAUUGGAAUUGAACAAUAGGGGCCGAGACAUCCACGAAAUCCCAAAACAGUUUAAAUAAUGCAGGAAUAUGCCAUGUGGUAAGAUAGUUAAACUUUACAGAAUCGAAACAUAUAAACACAUAAACAAUUAAUCAAAAGACAAAAUCAAACAUUUGGUUAGAACCUAGUUAAAAAUCCCUAGCAGAGUCGCCACUUAAUUUUGAAAAGAAAUUAAGAAACCUUUAGAGAGUUACUUAAAACGGUUCCAAACAGGAAAAUCAUUUUAAGCUAGAGAUUCUGAGUAAGUGGUUCCUAGUAACGUUUUAGGAAGGUGUAAGGCACCUAAAACGUCCGCUAACUAGCGGUUAUCCGGACUGUUUGAAAACGUCUUUGAUUAACUUUGAGAAGUUGAUUUGUUUUAAAAGAAACCAGUUUUAGAAAUAUUUUUUGUGUUUGUGCAAAAUCAGUUUUUUAGCGACUGAACUAAGGAUUUAACUAGGUUCGUAAAACACAUAAGGCAAACAAGCAUAAAGAAGAGGGGAAGGAGAGGAAGUGAGGGAUUUAGGCUAUUGGCCCGAACCAAGAAAACCUAUCCUAGUCUAAUUGGGCCUUUGACCCGUUACACCUAUCCUAAUCUAACUUUCGAGCCUUUGGAUCAAGUCUUGCUCCAUGUAUUAAAUUUACAACUUUUGGCUUCGAAGCCCACACGAAUGAAUAAAAAGUAUCAACAAAUGAAGGACGACAAUGAAUCUGUAAAUAAAUAAAGAGAUAAAAGGAAACUUUCUUGUAUCUUUGCUGCUUCAAAGACGGGAUUUUAACCCGUUCUUCUUUUCGAAUCUUUAUACUUGUACUACUUCCGCGACGUUCAACAUCUUCUAAAAGGGCGGGCCUCAAUGGCCCAUUGCAUAAUGCAAGAGAAAAGAGCCCAAUUGGACUCCCAUGCAGAUUCAUGCAAAGAAAGAAAGAAAAAUAGAUAAAUAAAUAAAGGAAUUAAUAUAUAUUCCGAAUUGGAGAUUAUCAUGCUACAGAAAUUCACGAGGCAUUAAAAGACUCAGGCAUACAUAUGAAAAGAGAUACAGCAACAAGUGACAUAUCCAAUACUUCCAUAGACAAAAUACUUCCAUGUAACAUACACAUAUGCCAUAACCUUCCCAGGCCCAGCAUAAUUGUAAUAUAUUCCCCUAAAAAUUAUCCCCAGAAUACAAAUUCAAAUAAUGCUGUGAAACCAACUUGCAAGGGCGAUUUUUCUUACAGGAACAUUAAGGAAAAAAUAAAAUUAUUCAGGCAAAGACAUGUUUUGACUUGCAAAUCCAAAAGAAAAAGAAUAUUUAAAUGACAUAUCUUGCAUAAUGAUGAACUACACGUUGUAAAAGCAGACUUCUGGUAAGAGGAGUUAAACCAUUACAUUUUAAGGCUAUGGAAAUUAUUUUACUUAAACGAGGAUUUUGAUCGAACAACCUAAAGAUUUAGCGAGGGAGAUAGAAAGGUAAUCAGAUAAGAACCCAAAGAAGAAAAAAACAGUCUAUGAGUUAGUGAAGUCCUAUGUUAUGGGAAGGAGAUGAAAAACCACGUUCUCAAGCAUAAAGAAAACAUCAAUCUAUGAAUAUAGAAAGUAAAGAGAAAAAAGUAUUACUGAAGCUUUUUCUCAGCCAAAAUACAUGACCAGAAAACUACCGUGAGGCUAUUCCGGUUUCAUUAUCAUUAUUACCAAAUGCGGAUGGGUUGCUCAUUUUAUUUUUCAUGUUAUAGGGGAAAUAAAUCGAACAAAUCCAAGAAAAGAAAGUCACACUCAAUCCCAGAAAUAACAAAACGCUAAACUUUUUUAAUAGUAAAGUUAACAAAGUGAACAUAUACUUUGAUAACCCAGGUAACACCAAAACUAUUUAUGAGCUUCGCAUAUGGUACAUACAAAAAGGUGCAAGAUGCUAACAUAUCAAUUUAAUAUCCCAAAUGGAGACAUAAAUCUACACUAUAUGAUUUUCACCUAACGAAUUACUAAUCAAGACCUGCAGCUCAAAAAUUAAUAUAACAAGACAAAGUAUCAUCAGAUCCAAAAGGCGUAUGUACUGAAAUCGCCAAGCGGGAAGAGAAUUGCGGAAAAGAGAUAGUUUGACAUCUAACUAAUAACUUAAAGCCUCGCUAAAUAAUGACGAACAACAUUUCAAAAUAAAUCAGCGAGGCCAUAUUCAAGCAUGUGAAUCAGAAAAACAGAUUAUAGGAAAAAAACACAACUUGACAAUGAAUUAAAGCCUUAAUCAAAUUACAACAAUCAACAUUUCGAGAAAAAACAUAGUUCAUAAGAUCGAAAAUUCCAAAAUGGAGCCAAAAGUUUGAGUUUACAACAAAACAAAACUGAGACCAAGAUAAAGGUAUGAACUUUAGGAUAGGAUCGAUACUUGGGCUAAAUAGGAAUGGACAACAUAAUAAAGUAUUUGAUUAACGAAAAGGUAAUACUCUAACCAAGGCAAUAUUCAAGGACAGAGAUUAGUGACUAUAUAACGGUCUUGUGGCAACUCUUGCGAAAGAAAGAAAAAAAAUAGGUCAUGAAACGGAUACAAAAACAGACUUUCACACGUAUCAAACAACCUAUGGCAUUCAAAGCCUCUAACAGCAAACAUCCCAACAUACAUGCUAUCUGAAACACCACUAAAGAAUGAAAAGAUGAAGAAGAAAGUGAAAUCAAAACUAAACGGAAUGAGGUAUUACCUGUUUUGAGCUAGCAAAACAGUACUACGAGCUAACUUCGGACUUCCACCACCAUCGGAAAGCUCAAUACCAUCGUGAACACUUGACUAUCUGACUGUUUCUCCCUGUCCUUUCUUGUUUUUUUCCCUCUCAAAGAAAUGUUUUGCUGCCCUGAAAGAAAUUCUCCCUAGGUUUUCGAGUCCAGAAUUUCUAAUCCUUUUUGGACCCAAAAGUUUCCCCACCCAAUAGCCUUCAACCCCAGAAUUUCAAACCUUUUUAGAAUACCCCAGAAUCAAACCUAACCCCUCUAAAAGAAGAGAAAAACCCCCUUUCAAACCCAAAAUUCCUAACUUGGAAGGAAGAGAACAAUCCCCAAUUUUCGGACCCCCCCCCCCCAAAUCUCAAUCUCUGACCCCAAAAGUCGAACCUAAUAGCCCAAAAGGGAGUGUCCCCUUCUUCUCGACCCCCAAAUUUCUAACCCCUUUGCCUCUAAGAUUUUGAACCCAGAAAGGAAAUGAGAGGCCUCUCUUUUCUCUCAGGAUUUUCUCAAAAAAAAAAAAAUCUUCGACCCCUUUCAAUGGCUCUAUGUUGAGCUAUAUAUAGAAAGGCCUCUAGGGAUAAAUUAAGGAUUUCUAAAAAAUAGAGGAUUACAAAUUCAAAAUUCAAAAACUCCCCCUUUCCCCGGCCUUUCAACCUCAAAUCCCACCCAAUUCUUGAUUUCUUCAGAGAGAUUGCAAUGGGUGGACCAAUCAAAUUUGGGCAAAAUGAAUUGUACCCCUCAACCAAUGGAAAUCCCCCAAAUAUAUAUGAAAUCACACGAAUCAAUCCAAGAUUUUUGGGAAUGGGACGUUGGGGGAGCCAGCUCAUCCUUUUCUAGAAGGUUUGAGGUUUUGCUGAGAAACUGAGAGCGGGAAUAUGGGAAACACGUCAUUUCUGGUUGAGAAUGGGUUGAUUUUGGGUCUCUUAUGGGUUAGAGAUAGUUUUGUCAUUGAUCGUGAUUUGGUCCGUGAUGUUGUACAUUAGAGAUUGUGUUGUCAUCAUUUGAUGUUGGAUAAGAUCGGGUAAGGUUGAAAGAGGAGAUAAGGGUGGAUUGGAGGCUAGGUCGGGUCAGAUCUGUUGGGCCUAGUGGGUGCGGGUUUGGACCGUUGGGUUGUUGGAUUAAUUAAUUAAG